rnacentral:rRNA from 1 species
CCUACGGGGGGCAGCAGUGAGGAAUAUUGGUCAAUGGCCGAGAGGCUGAACCAGCCAAGUCGCGUGCGGGAAGAAUGUCCUAUGGAUUGUAAACCGCUUUUGUCAGGGAGCAAAGUCACCCACGUGUGGGUGUUUGCGAGUACCUGAAGAAAAAGCAUCGGCUAAUUCCGUGCCAGCAGCCGCGGUAAUACGGAGGGUGCGAGCGUUAUCCGGAUUUAUUGGGUUUAAAGGGUGCGUAGGCGGGUUAUCAAGUCAGCGGUAAAAUCGUGGGGCUCAACUCCAUCCAGCCGUUGAAACUGAUCAUCUUGAGUGCGCGAGAGGUAUGCGGAAUGCGUGGUGUAGCGGUGAAAUGCAUAGAUAUCACGCAGAACUCCGAUUGCGAAGGCAGCAUGCCGGGGCGCGACUGACGCUGAAGCACGAAGGCGUGGGUAUCGAACAGGAUUAGAUACCCGUGUAGUC